rnacentral:rRNA from 1 species
UACGUAGGGCGCGAGCGUUGUCCGGAAUUAUUGGGCGUAAAGAGCUCGUAGGCGGCCGGUUGCGUCUGCUGUGAAAUCCCGGGGCUUAACCCCGGGCGUGCAGUGGAUACGGGCCGGCUGGAGGCAGGCAGGGGAGAAUGGAAUUCCCGGUGUAGCGGUGAAAUGCGCAGAUAUCGGGAGGAACACCGGUGGCGAAGGCGGUUCUCUGGGCCUGUACUGACGCUGAGAGCGAAAGCGUGGGGAGCGAACAGG